rnacentral:rRNA from 1 species
UACGGGGGGGGGCAAGCGUUGUUCGGAAUUACUGGGCGUAAAGGGCGCGUAGGCGGCCUUCUAAGUCGAACGUGAAAUCCCCGGGCUCAACCCGGGAACUGCGUCCGAUACUGGAAGGCUUGAAUCCGGGAGAGGGAUGCGGAAUUCCAGGUGUAGCGGUGAAAUGCGUAGAUAUCUGGAGGAACACCGGUGGCGAAGGCGGCAUCCUGGACCGGCAUUGACGCUGAGGCGCGAAAGCCAGGGGAGCAAACGGG